rnacentral:rRNA from 1 species
CCAAUAGCGUAUAUUAAAGUUGUUGCAGUUAAAAAGCUCGUAGUUGAAUUUCGGGGUUAGUAGGUUGGUCAUGCCUCUGGUAUGUACUGGUCUCACUGAUUCCUCCUUCCUGAUGAACCGUAAUGCCAUUAAUUUGGUGUUGCGGGGAAUCUGGACUGUUACUUUGAAAAAAUUAGAGUGUUUAAAGCAGGCUAACGCUUGAAUACAUUAGCAUGGAAUAAUGAAAUAGGACGUUCGAUCUUAUUUUGUUGGUUUCUAAGAUUGACGUAAUGAUUAAUAGGGAUAGUUGGGGGCAUUAGUAUUCAAUUGUCAGAGGUGAAAUUCUUGGAUUUAUUGAAGACUAACUACUGCGAAAGCAUUUGCCAAGGAUGUUUUCAUUAAUCAAGAACGAAAGUUAGGGGAUCGAAGACGAUCAGAUACCGUCGUAGUCUUAACCAUAAACUAUGCCGACUAGGGAUCGGAUGAUGUUAAUUUUUUAAUGACUCAUUCGGCGCCUUACG